UACGGGGGGAGCAAGCGUUGUUCGGAUUUACUGGGCGUAAAGGGCGCGUAGGCGGUCAGCACAAGUCAGUUGUGAAAUCUCCGGGCUCAACCCGGGAACUGCGUCCGAUACUGGAAGGCUUGAAUCCGGGAGAGGGAUGCGGAAUUCCAGGUGUAGCGGUGAAAUGCGUAGAUAUCUGGAGGAACACCGGUGGCGAAGGCGGCAUCCUGGACCGGCAUUGACGCUGAGGCGCGAAAGCCAGGGGAGCAAACGGG
rnacentral:rRNA from 1 species